UACGGAGGGGGCGAGCGUUAUUCGGAAUUAUUGGGCGUAAAGGGCGCGUAGGCGGCCCUGUAAGUCAAAGGUGAAAUCCCUCGGCUCAACUGAGGAACUGCCUUUGAAACUGCAGGGCUUGAGUCCGGGAGGGGGUAGCGGAAUUCCCAGUGUAGCGGUGAAAUGCGUAGAUAUCGAGAGGAACACCUGCGGCGAAGGCGGGUAGCUGGGCCGACACUGACGCUGAGGCGCGAAAGCCAGGGGAGCGAACGGG
rnacentral:rRNA from 1 species